AUUGAACGCUGGCGGCAGGCUUAACACAUGCAAGUCGAGCGGUAGCACAGGGGAGCUUGCUCCCUGGGUGGCGAGCGGCGGACGGGUGAGUAAUGUCUGGGAAACUGCCUGAUGGAGGGGGAUAACUACUGGAAACGGUAGCUAAUACCGCAUAACGUCGCAAGACCAAAGAGGGGGACCUUCGGGCCUCUUGCCAUCAGAUGUGCCCAGAUGGGAUUAGCUAGUAGGUGGGGUAAUGGCUCACCUAGGUGACGAUCCCUAGCUGGUCUGAGAGGAUGACCAGCCACACUGGAACUGAGACACGGUCCAGACGCCUACGGGAGGCAGCAGUGGGGAAUAUGGCACAAUGGGCGCGAGCCUGAUGCAGCCAUGCCGCGUGUGUGAAGAAGGCCUUCGGGGUGUAAAGCACUUUCAGCGAGGAGGAAGGUGGUGAGCUUAAUACGUUCAUCAAUUGACGUUACUCGCAGAAGAAGCACCGGCUAACUCCGUG
rnacentral:rRNA from 1 species